rnacentral:rRNA from 1 species
CGCGGCCUAUCAGCUUGUUGGUGGGGUAACGGCUCACCAAGGCGACGAUGGGUAGCCGGCCUGAGAGGGUGUCCGGCCACACUGGGACUGAGAUACGGCCCAGACUCCUACGGGAGGCAGCAGUCGAGAGGCUUCGGCAAUGGGGGAAACCCUGACCGAGCGACGCCGCGUGCGGGACGAAGGCCUUCGGGUUGUAAACCGCUGUCAGCAGGGAAGAAUGGCAUCUCGGUCAAUACCCGGGAUGUUUGACGGUACCUGCAGAGGAAGCUCCGGCUAACUCCGUGCCAGCAGCCGCGGUAAUACGGGGGGAGCAAACGUUGUUCGGAUUCACUGGGCGUAAAGGGGACGUAGGCGGCUAGAUUAGUGGGGCGUGAAACGUCUCGGCUCAACCGAGGACCUGCGCUUCAAACUGUCUGGCUUGAGUCCGGGAGGGGAGACGGGAAUUCCUGGUGUAGCGGUGAAAUGCGCAGAUAUCAGGAGGAACACCGGUGGCGAAGGCGCGUCUCUGGACCGGUACUGACGCUGAUGUCCGAAAGCGUGGGGAGCAAACAGGAUUAGAUACCCUGGUAGUCCACGCCGUAAACGAUGAGCACUAGAUGUGGGGAGUAUCUACCCUCUCCGUGUCGCAGCUAACGCAUUAAGUGCCCCGCCUGGGGAGUACGG